CACGGACCAAGGAGUCUAACAUGUACGCGAGUCAUUGGGACCCUAGAGCGAUACCUAAAGGCGUAAUGAAAGUGAAGGUCGACCCUGGUUGUCGACCGAGGGAGGAUGGGCCGCGUCGCGAUGCGGCUCCGCACUCCCGGGGCGUCUCGUUCUCAUUGCGAGGAGAGGCGCACCCAGAGCGUACACGUUGGGACCCGAAAGAUGGUGAACUAUGCCUGGUCAGGACGAAGUCAGGGGAAACCCUGAUGGAGGUCCGUAGCGAUUCUGACGUGCAAAUCGAUCGUCGGAACUGGGUAUAGGGGCGAAAGACUAAUCGAACCAUCUAGUAGCUGGUUCCCUCCGAAGUUUCCCUCAGGAUAGCUGGCACUCGGCCGUUCCGCACGGAACGCGCGCGAGUCUCAUCUGGUAAAGCGAAUGAUUAGAGGCCUUGGGGCCGAAACGACCUCAACCUAUUCUCAAACUUUAAAUGGGUGAGAUCUCUGGCUUUCUUGAACUAUGAAGCCACGAGCAUCUCGGAUCAGAGUGCCAAGUGGGCCAUUUUUGGUAAGCAGA
rnacentral:rRNA from 1 species